rnacentral:ncRNA from 1 species
AUAAUUUAAAUAUUUUAUUGUUAAUGUUGAUUAAAUGUUGUGUUGUAAUAAAUUAUUUGUUGAUUUGGCUUUAGUUAUUAUAUAAAUUAUUAUUAGGUUUAUACAUGUUAGGUUUAUAAGUAAAUCGUUUUAUCUUUAUUAUUAUUAGUUAUGGGGUUUAAUAUAACAUAAUUAUUAAUAUAUUUUGUUAAUUUAUAGUUAAGAUAAAUUUUAAAGAUUACGCAGUAUUUAUUAUUAUACAAUAAAUGAAAGUUUGAUAUAGUUAUUAUAAAUAAAAGUGGAUAAAUGUUGUGCCAGCAUCCGCGGUUAUACAAAUGCUUUAGAUUUAUAUUAAUACAGUACAAAAUAAAGUAAUAAUUAAAAUAAUUAGAAUAAUAUUGAGAAUAGUGAUUUUGAGUAAAAUCAAAAUAUUACUAUGAUUAAUUUAAUUUUUCUAUAUUUAAUACUUUGAAAAUAUGUUAAUUAAAACUAGGAUUAGAUACCCUACUAUUCAUUAAAUUAAAUUUUUUUUUUGCUUAAGUAGUAUUAUAUAUUAUUAUAAAUAUUUAUUAAUAUUGAAACUUAAAAAGCUUGGCGGUACUAUAUAUCCAUUUAGGGGAGCUUGUUUAUUAAUUUGAUAAUCCUCAAUUUACACUUACUUUUUCUUGAAAUAAUUCAGUUUGUGUAUUGCUGUCGUCAGUUUAUUUUGUAAAAUUAUAAAGAACAUGAUAGUAAAAUUUACUUGUAAGUCAAGUCAAAAUACAGCUAAUGUGAAAGGUUUAAAAAUGAGCUACAAUUUAUAAUAUUUAAUUGGAUUAAAUUAUGUAAAAAUUUAUGAAUUUGGACUUAAUAGUAAUGUGUUAUUAGUGUGUUUACAUGAAUUAGGUUUUAUAGUACGUACAUAUCGCCCGUCGCUCUUGUUGGUAAAAUAAGAUAAGUCGUAACAUAGUAGGGGUAGUGGAAGCUGUUCCUGGAAUUAA